AUUGAACGCUGGCGGCAGGCCUAACACAUGCAAGUCGAGCGGAUGAAGGGAGCUUGCUCCUGGAUUCAGCGGCGGACGGGGGAGUAAUGCCUAUGAAUCUGCCUGGUAGUGGGGGAUAACGUCCGGAAACGGGCGCUAAUACCGCAUACGUCCUGAGGGAGAAAGUGGGGGAUCUUCGGACCUCACGCUAUCAGAUGAGCCUAGGUCGGAUUAGCUAGUUGGUGGGGUAAAGGCCUACCAAGGCGACGAUCCGUAACUGGUCUGAGAGGAUGAUCAGUCACAUUGGAACUGAGACACGGUCCAGACUCCUACGGGAGGCAGCAGUGGGGAAUAUUGGACAAUGGGCGAAAGCAUGAUCCAGCCAUGCCGCGUGUGUGAAGAAGGUCUUCGGAUUGUAAAGCACUUUAAGUUGGGAGGAAGGGCAGUAAGUUAAUACCUUGCUGUUUUGACGUUACCAACAGAAUAAGCACCGGCUAACUUCGUG
rnacentral:rRNA from 1 species